rnacentral:tRNA from 1 species
GGAGAGGUGCCGGAGUGGCUGAACGGGGCGGUCUCGAAAACCGUUGUGCUUGCAAGAGUACCGAGGGUUCGAAUCCCUCCCUCUCCGCCA